GAUGAACGCUGACAGAAUGCUUAACACAUGCAAGUCAACUUGAACUUCGGUUUGGGUGGCGGACGGGUGAGUAACGCGUAAAGAACUUGCCUCACAGAUAGGGACAACAUUUGGAAACGAAUGCUAAUACCUGAUAUUAUGAUUUUAGGGCAUCCUAGAAUUAUGAAAGCUAUAUGCGCUGUGAGAGAGCUUUGCGUCCCAUUAGCUAGUUGGAGAGGUAACGGCUCACCAAGGCGAUGAUGGGUAGCCUGCCUGAGAGGGUGAUCGGCCACAAGGGGACUGAGACACGGCCCUUACUCCUACGGGAGGCAGCAGUGGGGAAUAUUGGACAAUGGACCAAGAGUCUGAUCCAGCAAUUCUGUGUGCACGAUGAAGUUUUUCGGAAUGUAAAGUGCUUUCAGUUGGGAAGAAAAAAAUGACGGUACCAACAGAAGAAGUGACGGCUAAAUACGUGCCAGCAGCCGCGGUAAUACGUAUGUCACAAGCGUUAUCCGGAUUUAUUGGGCGUAAAGCGCGUCUAGGUGGUUAUAUAAGUCUGAUGUGAAAAUGCAGGGCUCAACUCUGUAUUGCGUUGGAAACUGUGUAACUAGAGUACUGGAGAGGUAAGCGGAACUACAAGUGUAGAGGUGAAAUUCGUAGAUAUUUGUAGGAAUGCCGAUGGGGAAGCCAGCUUACUGGACAGAUACUGACGCUGAAGCGCGAAAGCGUGGGUAGCAAACAGG
rnacentral:rRNA from 1 species